GAUUGUUGCAUAUCUCCCAUUAUUGCCUUGCUGUGGAGUAGCAUAAUCAAGUGGAAACGGAAAAAAAUUUUUGGUCAAAUAUUUCUUUCUGUAGGAAAGAUGCUGCUUUUUCCUAAGUACCUUUUAGCCGUUGAGUAUUUUAUAAUCAUUGGCAUAAAUAUAAAAAUGGUAAGCAAUGUUUAUUAUUUGCACACAAGUGAGUCUGAAUUGGGGGCUUUUACUACCAGUCAUUCCCAAUGCAAUCUCAAGAAUGUAAUAGGCAAUCAGACAGUGAUUUAUCUGACCCAUUAUUGAGAAAGAACCAAGAAAAAUCUAAACAUCAUUUGGCUCAGUCAUGUGCACAUUGCAAAUGCAAAGCAGUGAAUUAUCUGAGCUUUGUCAUGAUUUUCUAUGCUAUAAACAUAUUUAGUAUUUGAGAAUUUGCUUUUAUUGCUGCCCUUAAUUUUUCUUUGUUCAAUCAUAGGAAGAAAUAUCGAAGCAAAGCAAAUGUAAUGGGGUUUCAUAAAGAAAAGGUAUCUAAAAAUCAAGCCAAUGGCUGCACUCAAAAAUAAUUCUCUAGACUUUCUUAGGGUGAGAUGUGUUGUUU
rnacentral:lncRNA from 1 species